rnacentral:tRNA from 1 species
CAGAAGGUAGUUUAAAAUAAAAUACUAAUUUUGGAGAUUAGAGUUAGGAAUUAUCUUUCUUCUGA